GAUGAACGCUGGCGGCGUGCCUAAUACAUGCAAGUCGAGCGAACAGACGAGGAGCUUGCUCCUUUGACGUUAGCGGCGGACGGGUGAGUAACACGUAGGUAACCUACCUAUAAGACUGGGAUAACUUCGGGAAACCGGAGCUAAUACCGGAUAAUAUUUCGAACCGCAUGGUUCGAUAGUGAAAGAUGGCUUUGCUAUCACUUAUAGAUGGACCUGCGCCGUAUUAGCUAGUUGGUAAGGUAACGGGUUACCAAGGCAACGAUACGUAGCCGACCUGAGAGGGUGAUCGGCCACACUGGAACUGAGACACGGUCCAGACUCCUACGGGAGGCAGCAGUAGGGAAUCUUCCGCAAUGGGCGAAAGCCUGACGGAGCAACGCCGCGUGAGUGAUGAAGGUCUUCGGAUCGUAAAACUCUGUUAUUAGGGAAGAACAAACGUGUAAGUAACUGUGCACGUCUUGACGGUACCUAAUCAGAAAGCCACGGCUAACUACGUG
rnacentral:rRNA from 1 species